UUUGAGUGGUGGAGACGACCGUAGCCAAUCAGAUGCUCUUCUUCAUCCUAUGGAACCAAUUGCAGACUUUCAAUUUGCCUAGCACUACCCAAGGGAGUUGGCAGAGGCCUCUGGAGUUGUCACCCACUCUACAGCAGCAAGGCUCCUCAGAAGCAGAAAAUACUGGUUUGUGCCACCACGCCUAUGGAAGUUUCGUGGAAUAUUUUGUCAUGCCUCUACUGGAAUCUUCAGAGGAAGAAGAGGGUAGUAUAGAGGAAAAAAAAGAAAAAGUCUUUCCUUAUCUCAUUUCCUAAGAGAUUUUUGACUUCAUGGUCCUCUUAAUUGUUUCCCUUUUAUACCUUAGAUAUUCUUUCAGGUUUCAACCUAGAGGUUUCAGAGCUCUUGUGUUGAGAGAUCCUCAGUGAAUUGGCUUGAUUCUAAUUUGGUUCAGAUGUCCCAAGUUUCCAAUGAAUUCCACCAGAAUGCUCUUAUAGGUUCCAGCACUUUCCCAUCCUUCUUAGACUUCACUAGACAUUUCUUGCCAAAAAGCCUAGAGGUAGGCUGGAGGCUCUGAGGAUUAAAGGUAUAUGAUUUGCACUAAGGGAACUCAUAACUCAGUUUUUCUUUAACCAGAAAUCUAAGAUAUCAGGACAUUUGCUAUGUGCUGGGAACUUUUGGAAGGAUUCUCUGGCCAACUCAGAAUCCAUGGUGCCCUAAUAUGUUUCUAAAUAUUUUGUACACCUACAAUGUUGCUCUUCAGUUGUUUCAGCCAUGUCCAACUCUUUAUGACCCAUUUUGGUUUUGUAGCAAUAUACCAGAAUGGUUUGCCAUUUCCUUCUCUGCCUCAUUUUACAGAUGAGGAAACUGAAGCAAAUGGGGUUAAGUGCCUUGCCCAGUGUCAUACAGCUAGGAAGUUUCUGAGGCCAGAUUUGAACUCAGGGAGAUGAGUCUUCUUAACUCUAGGCUCAGUAUUCUAGCUACUCUACUACUUAGCUGUCCCCCCAUGCUUACAAUGUAGAAGGCUUUGGAAGCUAGAAAGAUGAAGAGAAAUGUUAAAUUGACUCCACACACAUAUAAAGUACCUUCUAAGUGCCAGGUACAACACCAAGGAUUUGGGGGUGGAAGGGAUAAAAAGACAAAGCCAAAACAAUACUUGACCUCAAGUGGCUUCCAUUCCAUAGGGGAAACAGUGCAUAAAAAAAGUCAAAGAUAAACGCAGACUAAUAUUACAUUUGGGGAGGAUUAAGGAAAGGUCUCCUUUCUGAGGUUCUAGUGUUUGCACUGUGUCUCUAGGGACUAUAAAAAUGGAAGUGAGAAGGGAGUAUUUAUGGGAAUGAGAGCUGGCUGUAUAAAGCAUGGAGAUGGGAGAUCAGAAACGGAAUGUUAUCUAAAUGGAACUGUAAGAAGGCCAGUUUGAAUGGGAGGUGGUGUGUAUAAAGGAGAAUAAUGUGUCAUUACUUGAUAAAAAGGUUAUAAAUUGUGAUGGGUUAUUUCUGCCAAAAAAGAGAGUUUAUAUUUUAUACUAAGGUAAUAAGAAACCAUUGCAGCUUCUUGAGCAGGGAAACAACAUAGUUAGGUCCUAUGCUAUAGGAAUGUUAAUUUGCUACUGGUGUCAAGGAUAGACAGGAGAAAGGAGAGACUUGAGGCAACAGGGCUAGUUAGAAGAUUAUACUAGAUGGCUCACUGGACUACAGCACUAAGCCUGUAAUAAGAAAGACCUGAGUUAAAGUAGCUAGCUCGUAGUAACCCGUAGCCCUUAAUAAAUGCUUUUUUUCCUUCCUUCA
rnacentral:lncRNA from 1 species